AGACCCGAAACCCGGUGAUCUAGCCAUGGGCAGGUUGAAGGUUGGGUAACACUAACUGGAGGACCGAACCGACUAAUGUUGAAAAAUUAGCGGAUGACCUGUGGCUGGGGGUGAAAGGCCAAUCAAACCGGGAGAUAGCUGGUUCUCCCCGAAAGCUAUUUAGGUAGCGCCUCGUGAAUUCAUCUCCGGGGGUAGAGCACUGUUUCGGCUAGGGGGCCAUCCCGGCUUACCAACCCGAUGCAAACUGCGAAUACCGGAGAAUGUUAUCACGGGAGACACACGGCGGGUGCUAACGUCCGUCGUGAAGAGGGAAACAACCCAGACCGCCAGCUAAGGUCCCAAAGUCAUGGUUAAGUGGGAAACGAUGUGGGAAGGCCCAGACAGCCAGGAUGUUGGCUUAGAAGCAGCCAUCAUUUAAAGAAAGCGUAAUAGCUCACUGGUCGAGUCGGCCUGCGCGGAAGAUGUAACGGGGCUAAACCAUGCACCGAAGCUGCGGCAGCGACGCUUAUGCGUUGUUGGGUAGGGGAGCGUUCUGUAAGCCUGUGAAGGUGGCCUGUGAGGGUUGCUGGAGGUAUCAGAAGUGCGAAUGCUGACAUAAGUAACGAUAAAGCGGGUGAAAAGCCCGCUCGCCGGAAGACCAAGGGUUCCUGUCCAACGUUAAUCGGGGCAGGGUGAGUCGACCCCUAAGGCGAGGCCGAAAGGCGUAGUCGAUGGGAAACGGGUUAAUAUUCCCGUACUUGGUGUUACUGCGAAGGGGGGACGGAGAAGGCUAUGUUGGCCGGGCGACGGUUGUCCCGGUUUAAGCGUGUAGGUGUGUGUUCCAGGUAAAUCCGGUUCACUUUAACACUGAGGCGUGAUGACGAGGCACUACGGUGCUGAAGCAACAAAUGCCCUGCUUCCAGGAAAAGCCUCUAAGCAUCAGGUAACAUCAAAUCGUACCCCAAACCGACACAGGUGGUCAGGUAGAGAAUACCAAGGCGCUUGAGAGAACUCGGGUGAAGGAACUAGGCAAAAUGGUGCCGUAACUUCGGGAGAAGGCACGCUGAUAUGUAGGUGAAGCGGUUUACCCGUGGAGCUGAAAUCAGUCGAAGAUACCAGCUGGCUGCAACUGUUUAUUAAAAACACAGCACUGUGCAAACACGAAAGUGGACGUAUACGGUGUGACGCCUGCCCGGUGCCGGAAGGUUAAUUGAUGGGGUCAGCGCAAGCGAAGCUCCUGAUCGAAGCCCCGGUAAACGGCGGCCGUAACUAUAACGGUCCUAAGGUAGCGAAAUUCCUUGUCGGGUAAGUUCCGACCUGCACGAAUGGCGUAAUGAUGGCCAGGCUGUCUCCACCCGAGACUCAGUGAAAUUGAACUCGCUGUGAAGAUGCAGUGUACCCGCGGCAAGACGGAAAGACCCCGUGAACCUUUACUAUAGCUUGACACUGAACAUUGAGCCUUGAUGUGUAG
rnacentral:rRNA from 1 species